UGAAAAAGAAGCUAGCUGUUUGGUGUGUAUCUGGCCAUGGAAAAGGUUCUGGAUACAUAGCCUAUCGGCUUUUCUGAACUGUCAUGUAUCUUGGGCAAUAGUACCACUUCCACACCAUAUGAGGAUGCCUUGCAGAAAUAGAACCUGAGGCAUUCUACAUAUUGACACCAACCCUCUGUGUUUGGUUCAAAGGGGCCAAUCCUGCCAAAUUGUGACAUACCUGGCUGCAGCAGCAGUUACGUGCUUCCAUCAAGCUCCACAACUAGAAGAAGUACUCCCACUCUAAGGUUCCUUGUGUUUGGAUCUGAUUCGUUCAAACUUUCAUGUGAUACUAUACAACACAAUAAGCCUUAAGGCUAUAGUUGCUACCUUCCUUAAAGCUACAAUUCCUAUAGUAUUUCUUGAUUUAAAUCAACUCUGUCAUAG